GGGAGUGUAAGUUUCGACAAAUUGUUCUUUUACAAGUUGCAAGCUGAGCUGAAUUAACUCAUUAAACUGGUUCAUCUUAGAAUUGCUAACAGAAAUGUUGCUCUAGCCUACGCAUAAAUUUAGCCGUAGGCCAUCGCUCCACCUCUCCUCUUAAGGUGGGUUCGCGGUGUCAUAUUGAGAGGGUAGGCUAAAUUGCUUUGAGCUCGUCAAAUUAGCCGAAACUUUGAGCUCACUGUGGCUGUUUUAGGCCCUAACUAAAACUAAGCUUGUAGAUAUUUGUAAUCCGAGCCUUUUGGACGGGGUUUCAAUACCCCCACUUCCACCG
rnacentral:tmRNA from 1 species